UACAGGGGGUGCAAACGUUGCUCGGAAUCAUUGGGCGUAAAGCGCACGUAGGCGGUUCGUUAUGUCGGAUGUGAAAGCCCUUGGCUUAACCGAGGAAGUGCAUCCGAAACUGGCGAGCUAGAGUACUAAAGAGGAUCGCGGAAUUCCCGGUGUAGAGGUGAAAUUCGUAGAUAUCGGGGAGGAACACCGGUGGCGAAGGCGGCGAUCUGGGUAGAUACUGACGCUGAGGUGCGAAAGCGUGGGGAGCAAACA
rnacentral:rRNA from 1 species